rnacentral:rRNA from 1 species
UACGUAGGGGGCAAGCGUUGUCCGGAAUCAUUGGGCGUAAAGAGCGUGUAGGCGGUCCGGUAAGUCGGCUGUGAAAGUCCAGGGCUCAACCCUGGGAUGCCGGUCGAUACUGCCGGACUAGAGUUCGGAAGAGGCGAGUGGAAUUCCCGGUGUAGCGGUGAAAUGCGCAGAUAUCGGGAGGAACACCUAUGGCGAAGGCAGCUCGCUGGGACGUUACUGACGCUGAGACGCGAAAGCGUGGGGAGCAAACAGGAUUGAGAUACC